rnacentral:lncRNA from 10 species
UCCAGCCAUAUGUGGUUUAAAAUCUUGGGUCGCUUAUUUAAGGUCAGGAUUACUCUUUAGGUUCUCUACUCUCACUGCUUCAUUGUACCAGAUUCACUUUUCCUUGUCUUUGGGAGACUGAAGUAAUGGGAAGGAAGGUGAAGAGGAGAGGUUCACUAUCUCCACAAGAGUACCUAUCUGAGGGUCCUACCUCAACAAGAACAUUAUAGAGAUGCUGAGUCACCAUGUCACCAUGGGGUUGGUUAGCAUUGCAGUCCCUCAAUUAUAAUCAUGGUGCCCUAUUCUGGAGUUACUUCUGUGGCAUGAAGGCAUCUGCCAGUGCCUUCCAAACCACCCAAACUUCCAGGGUAAGCACUCUUAUCUCCCAGGGUACACCAGUUAUUCCUCAAUAUUAUUCUGGAUUUUAGAGAGUAUAUAGUGAAGAGCCCUAAACUGUGCUCUUUUAUAAGCCAGGAAGCUGGUCCUAGAAAAAUAUCAUGUUCCAUCCAGCUAAUGUUAAGUUUCCUCUUAUGUGAAUGCUGUUCAUGCCAUUAUCAAAGCACCAAACACAGCAUUGUAUUGAAGUUAUCCCACCUUUUUUGUUAAAGUGUGCAUUCUUUACAGACAACUACCAGAUCACACAUAUUUCUUAGAGCUGUAUGUCUGCAUAUGUCUUUUGAAUUGAAUUGCAUUAAGUCAGGGAUGUGAUCCUGGGAAAUUCUGAAUCUCUGAGUUCUCUUUGCUAUAUUUUAUAUUAUCAACAAGAAAAUGUUCCUAAAAACCUCAUAAUAA